UACGAAGGUCCCAAGCGUUAUCCGGAUUUAUUGGGUUUAAAGGGUGCGUAGGCGGAUUAUUAAGUCAGUGGUGAAAGCUCCAUGCCUAACAUGGAAAUUGCCAUUGAUACUGAUGAUCUUGAGUACAUUUGAAGUGGGCGGAAUGUGUCAUGUAGCGGUGAAAUGCUUAGAUAUGACACAGAACACCGAUUGCGUAGGCAGCUCGCUAAACUGUAACUGACGCUGAGGCACGAAAGCGCGGGGAGCAAACAGG
rnacentral:rRNA from 1 species